rnacentral:rRNA from 1 species
UACGAAGGGGGCUAGCGUUGCUCGGAAUCACUGGGCGUAAAGCACACGUAGGCGGAUUGCUAAGUCAGGGGUGAAAUCCUGGAGCUCAACUCCAGAACUGCCUUUGAUACUGGCGAUCUUGAGUCCGGGAGAGGUGAGUGGAACUGCGAGUGUAGAGGUGAAAUUCGUAGAUAUUCGCAAGAACACCAGUGGCGAAGGCGGCUCACUGGCCCGGUACUGACGCUGAGGUGCGAAAGCGUGGGGAGCAAACAGGG